CAAUACGUCAGCGGCAGACGGGUGAGUAACGCGUGGGAACGUACCUUUUGGUUCGGAACAACACAGGGAAACUUGUGCUAAUACCGGAUAAGCCCUUACGGGGAAAGAUUUAUCGCCGAAAGAUCGGCCCGCGUCUGAUUAGCUAGUUGGUGAGGUAAUGGCUCACCAAGGCGACGAUCAGUAGCUGGUCUGAGAGGACGAUCAGCCACAUUGGGACUGAGACACGGCCCAA
rnacentral:rRNA from 1 species